rnacentral:snRNA from 1 species
AGCUUUGCACAGGGGCUAUAUCAUAGCCAAUGAGGUUUAUCCGAGGUGCAAUUAUUGCUAAUUGAAAACUUUUCCCAAUAUCCCACCAAAUACGUGUAUGUGUAUGUGUAUGUAUAUGUGUAUGUGUAUGUAUAUG